rnacentral:rRNA from 1 species
CGGCGUGCCUAAUACAUGCAAGUAGAACGCUGAAGAGAGGAGCUUGCUCUUCUUGGAUGAGUUGCGAACGGGUGAGUAACGCGUAGGUAACCUGCCUUGUAGCGGGGGAUAACUAUUGGAAACGAUAGCUAAUACCGCAUAACAAUGGAUGACACAUGUCAUUUAUUUGAAAGGGGCAAUUGCUCCACUACAAGAUGGACCUGCGUUGUAUUAGCUAGUAGGUGAGGUAACGGCUCACCUAGGCGACGAUACAUAGCCGACCUGAGAGGGUGAUCGGCCACACUGGGACUGAGACACGGCCCAGACUCCUACGGGAGGCAGCAGUAGGGAAUCUUCGGCAAUGGGGGCAACCCUGACCGAGCAACGCCGCGUGAGUGAAGAAGGUUUUCGGAUCGUAAAGCUCUGUUGUAAGUCAAGAACGAGUGUGAGAGUGGAAAGUUCACACUGUGACGGUAGCUUACCAGAAAGGGACGGCUAACUACGUGCCAGCAGCCGCGGUAAUACGUAGGUCCCGAGCGUUGUCCGGAUUUAUUGGGCGUAAAGCGAGCGCAGGCGGUUUGAUAAGUCUGAAGUUAAAGGCUGUGGCUCAACCAUAGUUCGCUUUGGAAACUGUCAAACUUGAGUGCAGAAGGGGAGAGUGGAAUUCCAUGUGUAGCGGUGAAAUGCGUAGAUAUAUGGAGGAACACCGGUGGCGAAAGCGGCUCUCUGGUCUGUAACUGACGCUGAGGCUCGAAAGCGUGGGGAGCGAACAGGAUUAGAUACCCUGGUAGUCCACGCCGUAAACGAUGAGUGCUAGGUGUUGGAUCCUUUCCGGGAUUCAGUGCCGCAGCUAACGCAUUAAGCACUCCGCCUGGGGAGUACGACCGCAAGGUUGAAACUCAAAGGAAUUGACGGGGGCCCGCACAAGCGGUGGAGCAUGUGGUUUAAUUCGAAGCAACGCGAAGAACCUUACCAGGUCUUGACAUCCCGAUGCUAUUUCUAGAGAUAGAAAGUUACUUCGGUACAUCGGUGACAGGUGGUGCAUGGUUGUCGUCAGCUCGUGUCGUGAGAUGUUGGGUUAAGUCCCGCAACGAGCGCAACCCCUAUUGUUAGUUGCCAUCAUUCAGUUGGGCACUCUAGCGAGACUGCCGGUAAUAAACCGGAGGAAGGUGGGGAUGACGUCAAAUCAUCAUGCCCCUUAUGACCUGGGCUACACACGUGCUACAAUGGUUGGUACAACGAGUUGCGAGUCGGUGACGGCAAGCUAAUCUCUUAAAGCCAAUCUCAGUUCGGAUUGUAGGCUGCAACUCGCCUACAUGAAGUCGGAAUCGCUAGUAAUCGCGGAUCAGCACGCCGCGGUGAAUACGUUCCCGGGCCUUGUACACACCGCCCGUCACACCACGAGAGUUUGUAACACCCGAAGUCGGUGAGGUAACCUUUUGGAGCCAGCCGCCUAAGGUGGGAUAGAUGAUUGGGGUGAAGUCAUAA